UACAGAGGGGGCAAGCGUUGUUCGGAAUCACUGGGCUUAAAGGGCGCGUAGGCGGGCUGUCAAGUCUGGGGUGAAAUCCCACGGCUCAACCGUGGAACUGCCUUAGAUACUGACGGCCUCGAGGGAGAUAGGGGCGAGCGGAACUGUGAGUGGAGCGGUGAAAUGCGUUGAUAUUCACAGGAACACCGGUGGCGAAGGCGGCAUCCUGGACCGGCAUUGACGCUGAGGCGCGAAAGCCAGGGGAGCAAACGGG
rnacentral:rRNA from 1 species